AACGAACGCUGGCGGCAUGCCUAAUACAUGCAAGUCGAACGAUCACUUCGGUGGUAGUGGCGCACGGGUGCGUAACGCGUGGGAAUCUGCCCUUGGGUUCGGAAUAACGUUUGGAAACGGACGCUAAUACCGGAUGAUGACGAAAGUCCAAAGAUUUAUCGCCCAGGGAUGAGCCCGCGUAGGAUUAGCUAGUUGGUGGGGUAAAGGCUCACCAAGGCGACGAUCCUUAGCUGGUCUGAGAGGAUGAUCAGCCACACUGGGACUGAGACACGGCCCAGACUCCUACGGGAGGCAGCAGUAGGGAAUAUUGGACAAUGGGGGCAACCCUGAUCCAGCAAUGCCGCGUGAGUGAUGAAGGCCUUAGGGUUGUAAAGCUCUUUUACCCGAGAUGAUAAUGACAGUAUCGGGAGAAUAAGCUCCGGCUAACUCCGUG
rnacentral:rRNA from 1 species